rnacentral:rRNA from 1 species
CCUACGGGUGGCUGCAGUGAGGAAUAUUGGUCAAUGGACGAGAGUCUGAACCAGCCAAGUCGCGUGAAGGAUGACUGCCCUAUGGGUUGUAAACUUCUUUUAUCUGGGAAUAAAAUCUUCCACGUGUGGGCGUUUGUAUGUACCAUAUGAAUAAGCAUCGGCUAACUCCGUGCCAGCAGCCGCGGUAAUACGGAGGAUCCGAGCGUUAUCCGGAUUUAUUGGGUUUAAAGGGUGCGUAGGCGGUUUGUUAAGUCAGUUGUGAAAGUUGGCGGCUCAACCGGAGAAUUGCAUUUGAAACUGGCAGUCUUGAGUACAGUAGAGGUGGGCGGAAUGCGUGGUGUAGCGGUGAAAUGCGUAGAUAUCACGCAGAACUCCGAUUGCGAAGGCAGCUCACUGGACUGCAACUGACACUGAGGCACGAAAGUGUGGGUAUCGAACAGGAGUAGAUACCCUAGUAGUC